rnacentral:lncRNA from 1 species
CAAAUUCAUUGUGAAAAAACAGACUGCAUGGGAGAAGCCUGAAAAAGCAGGUUGGGUCAAUCAAUUCAAGGACAACAGGGACAUCACAAAGGGUAUGCAUAUCAAAGCAAUACCAACAGAUGGUGAUGAGGUGGUUUUCCCCACAUCAGCAGUGCCCAAAAUAGAAACCAUAUGGGGCCAUUGCUGCCUAGGAUUCUUUUCAGGAAAGUACCCCGGGAAAGAGAUUGUUGAUGAUGUGUGCAGUCAGUGGGGUGUAAACUUCAUUUCUCAGCCACAUGCAACAGGGUGGAUCAUCUUCAAAUUUGAAACUGAGGAAGCAAAGCACACAGUGGUGACCAAUGGGCCAUACACAAAGGAUGGUAGGCAGAUACACAUGAGAGAGAUCCCUCCUCACUUCAAUUUUGAAACAAAAGAGAUGACCAUUGUACCUGUGUGGAUCAAAUUGAAGAACUGGCCUAUGGAAUUAUGGAAUGAAGAAGCCAUAGGCAUCUUCACCUCAAAAAUUGGCAAUCCAGUGUGCACAGAUGGCAUCACUAACACUCUAAGCAGAGCCUCAUAUGCAAGGGUGCUGGUGCAUGUUGAUGCAGCAAAACCACUCAGAAAAGUGAUACCUAUGGUGUUUCCUAAUGGUGAUAGGAUUGAACAGGAAAUUAUCUAUGAAUUCACCCCAAAAUACUGCCAUCACUGUAAAACACUAACACACAACACAGAAGAGUGCUUCAUUCUGGCCAAAAUGGCAAAUUUGACCCCUACAAAAGCAAAAACUCCAAGGAAGCAAGCAAAUACUCCCAGAAGAGAAGCUGGUGGGGGGGAUGGCCAAAGGACCAAGGCAGCAAGUCAUCUCUACAGUGCAGCAGCAGGACAAGAAGCAGGACAAGAUUCAAGACCUGGUGCACACACAUAACACAGGCUGAACAUGAUCCUGAUCCAUCACUAAGAUCAAUCAGUGAAAAGAAGAACAAAAGAGCAGCUGAUGUGGCCACAGAAGAUACAGAUGCAGAGGCAGAAGAGUCAGGGGCUGAGCAAUCAGUAAUGACUAAAAAGGGACCAGAAAAAGAAGAUAAACAGAGCAAAGGAAAGGGUGUUGCUGUUGAUGAGACAGAGGAAGGAUUUACUACUGUAAAUCACAAGAAGAAGCCCCCAAAACACCCCCCUUCUCCACAUCUGAAGAACAAAUACCUAGGACCAUAUGCACAUCCCAAGAAACAAGGCAGAAAUGCAGGAAAAAAUGAAGAAAAACAGGACAAAGGAGAAGAAGUGAGCAACUUUAAAAAACCAGAAGCUAGAAGGGGGCUGUUCCCUUCAACUUCUAAAUGAUAAUCAUCCAUUGGAAUGUGAGGGGAUUUAACAGGCCCCUCAAACAGAAUGUAGUCAGAAGCUACAUUCUGCAGAAUAAAAUAGAUGUGAUGGGAAUUUUGGAGAUGAAAGUGAAGACACAACAGCAAAUUAAUACACUAAUUCAAAACAGAUUUAGUGGCAUGGCAGCUGUGCAUAAUUUGGAUAUGCAUCAAGGAGGUAGAAUCCUUAUUUUGUGGAACACAGAUACAGUGGAUCUUGAAGUGAAGAGCAGCCAUGCACAAGCAAUACAUUGCUUGAUCAAGUGCAAGGUCACAGGACAACAAUUUCAUUGCACUAUGGUGUAUGGGCUGUAUUCAGUUAGAAGUAGAAGGGAGCUAUGGAGUUCACUUGAAGAGUAUGGAGAGGGGAUGACAGAGCCUUGGCUAGUAAUGGGGGACUUCAACUGUGUGAUGAGUCCAGAAGAGAAGACAGGUGGCAAUAUACCUACUGCAUAUGAGCUAAAAGACUGUACAGAAACAGUUCUGGGGCUAGGAUUGGAGGAUAUACCUUUCACAGGAAGCAUGUUGACCUGGUCAAACUCAGCUGUGGACAACACAAUUUGGAGUAAAUUAGAUAGAGCUAUGGUGAAUUGUGCAUGGUAUGAUCAGCUACCAGUAACAAAGGCUGAGUUCCUUGCUCCUGGUGCUAUAUCAGACCACUCACCUUGCUUGGUCACAAUUCAUAGAGAAAGCAGUAGAGGGCAGACUCAAUUCAAAUUUUUCAACAUGUGGGCUAAACAUGAAGAUUUCAACAAUAUUGUGCAAGACAACUGGAAAUUUGAAGGGUAUGGUACUGAGCAAUACAGGCUAUGUAAGUUGCUAAAGGGCCUGAAAAGACCACUAAAGGCACUUAAUACCUCUGCAUUCAGUCACAUAUCAGCUAGAGCAGAGAGGGCAGUAAAGGAAGUGGAAGCACUGCAGACUCAACUUCAAUCUGACCUGGAUAAUCAGGGGCUAAAAGAGAGCAUUAAACAGAAAAAGAAGAAUGCUAACUACCUACUUGAAGCUGAGAGGCAGUUUUUGACUCAAAAAGCUAAAUGCAACUAUGCCUUGCAUGCAGACAAAACAAACAAGUUUUUUCACAGCAUUGUAAAGAGAAGAGGCAAGAAGAACUUUAUAGCUUCUGUGUACAAAGAAAAUGGGCAGAAGACUGAAUCAGAAGAUGAGAUGGUCACUGAAUUUCUCAAUUUUUAUAAAGACCUGCUAGGCACAGAAGAGAAUUGUGCAGCUCUAGACAAAUCAGUUGUGGAGGCAGGACUAUUACUGAAUGAAGAUGAAGGGCAAGAGUUGAUUGCUGAGGUUACAGAAGCAGAAAUUAGAGAUGCACUUCAGGGUAUAGGGGAUGAGAAGUCACCAGGACCAGAUGGUUUCAACUCACACUUCUACAAAAAAGCCUGGUGCACAGUGGGAAAAGAUGUGGUCAGUGCAGUCCAGGAGUUCUUCAGAAAUGGGAAGCUGCUGAAGCAAAUUAAUCACACUUUGCUUGCACUAAUACCUAAAACAGAAACAUCAUCAAGAGUGGCUGAAUUCAGACCCAUAGCAUGCUGCAAUAUCAGCUACAAACUGAUUUCAAAAGUACUUGCUGCAAGACUAGGAAGAACACUUGAUAAAAUUGUGGAUAAGGCUCAAUCAGCCUUUGUUGAGGGUAGGCUGAUAAAUGACAAUAUUCACUUAGCUGAGGCUAUGGUGAGGCAGUAUGAAAGAGCAAGGUCCACACCUAGAUGCCUGGUCAAAGUUGACUUGAGGAAGGCAUAUGACUCACUUAAUUGGCAGUUUUUGAGAGAAAUGCUACUAGCUCUCAAUUAUCCACAGAUCUUUGUCAAGUGGAUUAUGGAGUGUGUUAGUACUACCUCAUAUUCACUGUCACUGAAUGGAAAAGCACAUGGGCUGUUUGAAGGAAGAAAAGGGUUGAGACAGGGGGACCCCUUAUCACCUAUGCUUUUUGUGUUGGGGCUUGAGUAUUUUUCAAGAUAUCUGGGCAAAAAAGCUAGAGAUGGGGAAUUUAACUACCAUGCCAAAUGUGAUGCAAAGCAGAUCACUCACCUAGCAUUUGCAGAUGACUUGAUGCUGCUAUGUAGGGCAGAUCAGUGGUCACUUCAGGUGCUAAAAGAUAGUUUGACAGAACUGGGUGAAAAAACAGGGCUGAGGGCUAGCAUUUUAAAGUCAAAUGUGUAUUUGGCUGGUGUUACAGAGGCAGAAGCAGUUGAUCUGGCAGCCAUUUUGGAAGUCCCAAGAGGAUCUUUCCCUUUUAGAUACUUGGGCAUCCCUUUAGCAUCAACAAAGCUAAAGGUGAGUCAGUACUCCCCCCUGCUUGAUAAGAUCAAAGGGCUGAUACAGCAGUGGGCAGGAUCUCACCUAUCAUAUGCAGGUAGAUUGGAGCUGAUAAGUACAGUCAUACAGGGGCUUGUGUGCUAUUGGCUAGGUAUUUUCAAAUUACCUAAAGAAGUGAUACACAAGAUUGAAAGGAUGUGUAGUAUUUACCUGUGGCAGUCUAGAAUUGGUGCAGUGGAGUGGAAAGAGGCAUGCUUUCCAAAAUCUGAGGGGGGCUUGGGGGUCAGAGAUUUAGAAGAAUGGAACUCUGCAAUGCUCAUGAAAGAGGUGUGGAACAUACACUCAAAAAAGGACUCAUUAUGGAUUCAGUGGCUGCAUACCUACUACUUCACAACUGAGGGAUUCUGGGAGUGGCAGCCAAAGAGGGAUUCAAAUCCUCUCUUAAAAGCUAUAACUAGCAUCAGAAAUCAGCUAGUGGAGAGGGCAGGGUCAGUGGAUUCUGCUGUGGUUUUGUUAGAAGAUUGGGCAAAAGGAGGCAGAUUUAGCACUAAAAAGGCCUUUGAGUGGUUGAGAAAGAAAAAAGAACCUCAGUGGUGGGGCAAGCUGAUCUGGAAGCACUUUUUACCCCCUAAAUAUUCAUUCAACUUGUGGAUGUGUAUUAAGGAGAAGUUAAGGACCAGAAACAGAUUGGCCUUUAUGCUAGCUAACACAAAAUGUCCUCUGUGUAAUGCAGUUGAGGACAGUGUACAGCACCUAUUUUUCCAGUGCCCUGCUACUCAGGAAAUUUGGAAUCAGAUCAGAACUUGGAUGGGGAUAAGAAGAGCUCAAGGCUCUUUAAUCCUGGCUUUGAAAGAAGAAAAGAAGAAGGGGAGAGGCAAGACAAUUGGCAGUAAAGGCAGGCUACUCACAAUAGCCUGCACCACCUACUUAACUUGGAAGGCUAGAAACAGACUUGUUUUUGAAGGGGUGCAGUGGCAAGCUGAAGAGGUCAGAAACAGCAUCAAAUUCUUGGUGUAUAGGCAUAUGUUUGGCCUAUUCCCUUGGUUAGUACAGCCUGGCCAACAAAUAUUUGGCCCACAAUGAAGCUAUAAGCUAUAUUUGUGAGGGCUGUUUUGGGAAAAAAAAAUAUAUAUAUAUAUAUAUAAAAAGAAAAAAAAAAAAAGAAAAAAAAAAAACAGAGUAAUGUGAAAAACAGGUGGUAGAAAAAGAAUAUAAACCCCUGUACAGGGUGGUAAAAAUAAUAAAAACCCCCUGAGGAGGAAAAAAAAAAAAAAAAAAAAAAGAAAAAAAAAAAAAAAAAAAUGUUUGGAAAAAAAAAAAGAAUAAGGUGGAGAGCAUUUGAAAUAAUGCAGGUGGGUGAUUGGUGUUUUGAUGCUUUGAUAAAUGAAAAUA